GAUUAACGCUAGCUACAGGCUUAACACAUGCAAGUCGAGGGGAAACGGCGUCGAAAGCUUGCUUUUGAUGGGCGUCGACCGGCGCACGGGUGAGUAACGCGUAUCCAACCUGCCCAUCACUUGGGAAUAACCUUGCGAAAGUAAGACUAAUGCCCAAUGACAUCCCACGAAGGCAUCCGAAUGGGAUUAAAGAUUUAUCGGUGAUGGAUGGGGAUGCGUCUGAUUAGCUUGUUGGCGGGGUGACGGCCCACCAAGGCAACGAUCAGUAGGGGUUCUGAGAGGAAGGUCCCCCACAUUGGAACUGAGACACGGUCCAAACUCCUACGGGAGGCAGCAGUGAGGAAUAUUGGUCAAUGGGCGAGAGCCUGAACCAGCCAAGUAGCGUGCAGGAUGACGGCCCUAUGGGUUGUAAACUGCUUUUAUAAGGGAAUAAAGUGGGUCACGUGUGACUUUUUGCAUGUACCUUAUGAAUAAGGACCGGCUAAUUCCGUG
rnacentral:rRNA from 1 species